rnacentral:tRNA from 1 species
GGUUGUGGCUCAGCGGUAGAGCGCUUGCCUCGCAUGUGUGAGGCCCUGGGUUCAAUCCUUAGCACCA